UACAGAGGGUGCGAGCGUUAAUCGGAAUUACUGGGCGUAAAGCGCACGUAGGUGGCGACGUAAGUCGGGUGUGAAAUCCCCGGGCUCAACCUGGGAACUGCAUCCGAGACUGCAUUGCUAGAGUAUGGGAGAGGGAAGCGGAAUUUCUGGUGUAGCAGUGAAAUGCGUAGAUAUCAGAAGGAACAUCAGUGGCGAAGGCGGCUUCCUGGACCAAUACUGACGAUCAGGUGCGAAAGCGUGGGGAGCAAACAGG
rnacentral:rRNA from 1 species